rnacentral:rRNA from 1 species
CGAAAGGGUGACGAAGCGACGCCGCGUGUGGGAAGAAGGCCUUCGGGUUGUAAACCACUGUCAGGAGUUAAGAAGUGUAAGGGUGCUAAUAGUAUCCUUACUUGACUAAGGCUCCAGAGGAAGCCACGGCUAACUCUGUGCCAGCAGCCGCGGUAAUCCAGAGGUGGCAAGCGUUGUUCGGAAUUAUUGGGCGUAAAGAGCACGUAGGCGGUUCUGCAAGUCGGCUGUGAAAGCCUUCCGCUCAACGGAAGAACAGCAGUUGAUACUACAGGACUCGAGUGCGGGAGGGGAGAGUGGAACUUCUGGUGGAGCGGUGAAAUGCGUAGAUAUCAGAAGGAACGCCGGCGGCGAAAGCGACUCUCUGGCCCGUAACUGACGCUGAGUGUGCGAAAGCUAGGGGAGCAAACGGGAUUAGAUACCCCGGUAGUCCUGGCCGU